UACGUAGGGUGCAAGCGUUGUCCGGAAUUAUUGGGCGUAAAGAGCUUGUAGGCGGUUUGUCGCGUCUGCUGUGAAAUUUCGGGGCUCAACCCCGAACUUGCAGUGGGUACGGGCAGACUAGAGUGUGGUAGGGGCAGAGGAAUUCCUGGUGUAGCGGUGAAAUGCGCAGAUAUCAGGAGGAACACCGGUGGCGAAGGCGGGUCUCUGGGCCGAACUGACGCUGAGGAGCGAAAGCGGUGGGGAGCGAACAGG
rnacentral:rRNA from 1 species